UACGAAGGGGGCUAGCGUUGCUCGGAAUUACUGGGCGUAAAGGGCGCGUAGGCGGAUAGUUUAGUUGGGGGUGAAAGCCCGGGGCUCAACCUCGGAACUGCCUUCGAUACUGUCAGUCUUGAGGUCGGGAGAGGUGAGUGGAACUCCGAGUGUAGAGGUGAAAUUCGUAGAUAUUCGGAAGAACACCAGUGGCGAAGGCGGCUCACUGGCCCGAUUCUGACGCUGAGGCGCGAAAGCGUGGGGAGCAAACAGG
rnacentral:rRNA from 1 species